rnacentral:ncRNA from 2 species
UUCUUAUCCAGAGAAGCUGAGGGACCUGGCCCGAUGACGCUUCAGCAACCUCUACUCCGUGAGAAAGGUGCUACUUCCAUCAAGAAUGAAUUCUUGAGAGAUAAGAA